rnacentral:rRNA from 1 species
UCUGGUACUUUCAGUGCCCGAGUUGUAAUUUGUAGAAUUUGUCUUUGAUUAGGUCCUUGUCUAUGUUCCUUGGAACAGGACGUCAUAGAGGGUGAGAAUCCCGUUUGGCGAGGAUACCUUUUCUCUGUAAGACUUUUUCGAAGAGUCGAGUUGUUUGGGAAUGCAGCUCAAAGUGGGUGGUAAAUUCCAUCUAAAGCUAAAUAUUGGCGAGAGACCGAUAGCGAACAAGUACAGUGAUGGAAAGAUGAAAAGAACUUUGAAAAGAGAGUGAAAAAGUACGUGAAAUUGUUGAAAGGGAAGGGCAUUUGAUCAGACAUGGUGUUUUUUGCAUGCACUCGCCUCUCGUGGGCUUGGGCCUCUCAAAAAUUUCACUGGGCCAACAUCAAUUCUGGCAGUAGGAUAAAUCAUUAAGAAUGUAGCUACCUCGGUAGUGUUAUAGCUUAUUGGAAUACUGCUAGCUGGGAUUGAGGACUGCGCUUCGGCAAGGAUGUUGGCAUAAUGGUUAAAUGCCGCCCGUCUUG